AUAUCAAUAAGCGGAGGAAAAGAAACCAACAGGGAUUGCCCUAGUAACGGCGAGUGAAGCGGCAAAAGCUCAAAUUUGAAAUCUGGCUUCGGCCCGAGUUGUAAUUUGUAGAGGAUGUUUCGGGCACCGCCCCGGCGUAAGUCCCUUGGAACAGGGCGUCAUAGAGGGUGAGAAUCCCGUCUGGCGUCGUGGUAGGGCCCAUGUGAAACUCCUUCGACGAGUCGAGUUGUUUGGGAAUGCAGCUCAAAAUGGGUGGUAAAUUUCAUCUAAAGCUAAAUACUGGCCAGAGACCGAUAGCGCACAAGUAGAGUGAUCGAAAGAUGAAAAGCACUUUGAAAAGAGAGUUAAACAGUAUGUGAAAUUGUUGAAAGGGAAGCGCUUACAACCAGACUUGAGCCCGUCGGUUCCCCCUCGCUUCUGCGUGGGCUACUCCGGCGGGUCCAGGCCAACAUCGGUUCGGGUGGCUGGUCAAAGGCCCCGGGAAUGUACCUCACCUUCGGGUUAGGCUUAUAGCCCGGGGUGUCAUGCGGCCUACCUGGACCGAGGAACGCGCUUCGGCUCGGAUGUUGGCGUAAUGGUUGUCAGCGACCCGUCUUGAAACACGGACCAAGGAGUCGAAGAGCUAUGCGAGUGUUUGGGUGUCAAACCCGUACGCGUAAUGAAAGUGAACGGAGGUAGGAAGCUUCGGCUGCACUAUCGACCGAUCCUGAUGUUCUCGGAUGGAUUUGAGUAAGAGCAUAACUCUCCGGACCCGAAAGAUGGUGAACUAUGCCUGAAUAGGGUGAAGCCAGAGGAAACUCUGGUGGAGGCUCGCAGCGGUUCUGACGUGCAAAUCGAUCGUCAAAUUUGGGUAUAGGGGCGAAAGACUAAUCGAACCAUCUGGUAGCUGGUUCCUGCCGAAGUUUCCCUCAGGAUAGCAGUAACGUUUUCAGUUUUAUGAGGUAAAGCGAAUGAUUAGAGGCCUUGGGGUUGAAACAACCUUAACCUAUUCUCAAACUUUAAAUAUGUAAGAAGUCCUUGUUACUUAGUUGAACGUGGACAUUUGAAUGUAUCGUUACUAGUGGGCCAUUUUUGGUAAGCAGAACUGGCGAUGCGGGAUGAACCGAACGUGAGGUUAAGGUGCCGGACUGCACGCUCAUCAGACACCACAAAAGGUGUCAAUGCAUCUAGACAGCCGGACGGUGGCCAUGGAAGUCGGAAUCCGCUUAGGAGUGUGUAACAACUCACCGGCCGAAUGCAUUGGCCCUGAAAAUGGAUGGCGCUUAAGCGUGCGACCUAUACCUCGCCGUCAGGGUUGACAUGAUGCCCUGACGAGUAGGCAGGCGUGGAGGUUUGUGACGAAGC
rnacentral:rRNA from 1 species